rnacentral:rRNA from 1 species
UAGGAUGCGAGCGUUGUCCGGAUUUAUUGGGCGUAAAGAGUUCGUAGGUGGUUUGUUAAGUUUGGUGUUAAAGAUUGGGGCUCAACCCUGAAACUGCACUGAAUACUGGCAGACUCGAGUGUGGUAGAGGCUAGUGGAAUUCCCAGUGUAGCGGUGAAAUGCGUAGAUAUUGGGAAGAACACCAGCGGCGAAAGCGUGUGACUGGGUCUGCACUGACACUGAGGGACGAAAGCUAGGGGAGCGAAAGGGAUUAGAUACCCCUGUAGUCCUAGCCGUAAACGAUGACAACUAGGUGUGGUUCGUAUCGACCCGAGCCGUGCCGUAGCCAACGCGUUAAGUUGUCCGCCUGGGGAGUACGCACGCAAGUGUGAAACUCAAAGGAAUUGACGGGGACCCGCAC